rnacentral:rRNA from 1 species
AUUGAACGCUGGCGGCAGGCCUAACACAUGCAAGUCGAACGGUAACAGGAAGAAGCUUGCUUCUUUGCUGACGAGUGGUGGACGGGUGUGUAAUGUCUGGGAAACUGCCUGAUGGAGGGGGAUAACUACUGGAAACGGUAGCUAAUACCGCAUAACGUCGCAAGACCAAAGAGGGGGACCUUCGGGCCUCUUGCCAUCGGAUGUGCCCAGAUGGGAUUAGCUAGUAGGUGGGGUAACGGCUCACCUAGGCGACGAUCCCUAGCUGGUCUGAGAGGAUGACCAGCCACACUGGAACUGAGACACGGUCCAGACUCCUACGGGAGGCAGCAGUGGGGAAUAUUGCACAAUGGGCGCAAGCCUGAUGCAGCCAUGCCGCGUGUAUGAAGAAGGCCUUCGGGUUGUAAAGUACUUUCAGCGGGGAGGAAGGGAGUAAAGUUAAUACCUUUGCUCAUUGACGUUACCCGCAGAAGAAGCACCGGCUAACUCCGU